rnacentral:rRNA from 1 species
AUUAGAUACCCUGGUAGUCCACGCCGUAAACGAUGUCGACUUGGAGGUUGUGCCCUUGAGGCGUGGCUUCCGGAGCUAACGCGUUAAGUCGACCGCCUGGGGAGUACGGCCGCAAGGUUAAAACUCAAAUGAAUUGACGGGGGCCCGCACAAGCGGUGGAGCAUGUGGUUUAAUUCGAUGCAACGCGAAGAACCUUACCUACUCUUGACAUCCAGAGAACUUAGCAGAGAUGCUUUGGUGCCUUCGGGAACUCUGAGACAGGUGCUGCAUGGCUGUCGUCAGCUCGUGUUGUGAAAUGUUGGGUUAAGUCCCGCAACGAGCGCAACCCUUAUCCUUUGUUGCCAGCGGUUCGGCCGGGAACUCAAAGGAGACUGCCAGUGAUAAACUGGAGGAAGGUGGGGAUGACGUCAAGUCAUCAUGGCCCUUACGAGUAGGGCUACACACGUGCUACAAUGGCAUAUACAAAGAGAAGCGACCUCGCGAGAGCAAGCGGACCUCAUAAAGUAUGUCGUAGUCCGGAUUGGAGUCUGCAACUCGACUCCAUGAAGUCGGAAUCGCUAGUAAUCGUGGAUCAG